rnacentral:rRNA from 1 species
UACGGAGGGAGCUAGCGUUGUUCGGAAUUACUGGGCGUAAAGCGCACGUAGGCGGUUAUUCAAGUCAGAGGUGAAAGCCCGGGGCUCAACUCCGGAACUGCCUUUGAAACUAGAUAGCUUGAAUCCAGGAGAGGUGAGUGGAAUUCCGAGUGUAGAGGUGAAAUUCGUAGAUAUUCGGAAGAACACCAGUGGCGAAGGCGGCUAACUGGUCCAGAUCUGACGCUGAGGUGCGAAAGCGUGGGGAGCAAACAGG